CAUCCAUCCUUCCUGUUCUUCUUCCUUCUUGGGGUGACUUGGUUUUAGAGAUCUCCAGACCUUGGUUAGGCAGUAAUCAGCUGAAGGAUUGCAUAAACGGCGAAGCUUCUGAUCUUUUUUCCCAAUGGUGUCUUCGCUUUUCCAUGCCCUCUUUCCUCCAUCUUCACUAUGAAAGCGGACGAUUCCGAACAUGUACCCAUCAUCUUCAUCUGCGAAGCAUCAUGCACAUCAAGUGUUUGUUCAAAUGCCUGUUGAGUUGAGGCUCUCUUUCCCCUUUCAUGAACUCGGGAAGCCCACUUCAUUUAAGUCUAUUUCUCAUAAGCACAAUCUUCAUUUAAGGCUUCUAUCAUUGUCAUCCUGUUUUUUGAGAAAAGAUUUGUGGCACCUGCGUUGUGUUACAUAGGAUGGAUUUUCUUUACCCGAUUGGGGUCCAGAGAACUCCAAAAUGUGUGUCUUUUUUAGCCAGUGUCUUUAUAUCUAUUACUUUCUUUCAGCUUUGCAAAUUUGUUACUUAAAACAAACUGUAUCUUGGAUGAUUUUCAAGUUUUCUUUUUGAUGCA